rnacentral:rRNA from 1 species
UACGAAGGGGGCUAGCGUUGCUCGGAAUCACUGGGCGUAAAGGGUGCGUAGGCGGCCCGUUAAGUCAGUGGUGAAAGCCUCCAGCUCAACUGGAGAACUGCCAUUGAUACUGACGGGCUUGAGUACAGACGAGGUAGGCGGAAUUGAUUGUGUAGCGGUGAAAUGCAUAGAUACAAUCAAGAACACCGAUUGCGUAGGCAGCUUACUAGGCUGUAACUGACGCUGAGGCACGAAAGCGUGGGGAGCGAACAGG